CAGCAGCCGCGGGAAUACGAAGGGGGCUAGCGUUGCUCGGAAUGACUGGGCGUAAAGGGCGCGUAGGCGGCGGCCAAAGUCAGGCGUGAAAUUCCCGGGCUCAACCUGGGGGCUGCGCUUGAUACUUGGUUGCUUGAGUGGGGAAGAGGGUCGUGGAAUUCCCAGUGUAGAGGUGAAAUUCGUAGAUAUUGGGAAGAACACCGGUGGCGAAGGCGGCGACCUGGUCCUUUACUGACGCUGAGGCGCGAAAGCGUGGGGAGCAAACAGGAUUAGAUACCCCUGUAGUCCCUGUCUCUUAUAC
rnacentral:rRNA from 1 species